rnacentral:lncRNA from 1 species
CACCAUGUCAUUGUUAAGCCUGUGGAUCACAUGGUUACCAUGACUCCAGAGUUCACCUAUCAGGUGGAAGUUUUAACUCAACACAGGGCCCCAGCUCAGCCUUUAAUAUCCCCUGAGCAGUUUAAACAUUUGAAAGACCAGCAAAAGAUUAUCAUUCAGCAGCUAAAUACCCCUGGAAAUGAUGAACUUCCGCCAAAUCUAUCAAGAGCCCAUGACUCCAUCUCCAACUCAGCUCUCCUCAGACAUGAACGGGAAAGGCCACAUUCUAUGGAACAGUAAAGAGAGUCAUGCUUAUCCAACGAGUGUAUAAAAGGCCCAAGAAGACAAGGUUCAGAGAGCUUCCGGAUAGCUGAACGCAUGGAGGCUGACAGGACAGUGAAGGAGAACUCAUCCACGCGCUGGGCGAGUGGUGCACCCCAACUCCACAGGAACGGAAGCUCCUCCAGAUCUUGCCUUGUGUUAUCUUUCCAUCUGGCUAUUUAUUUGCAUCCUUUUUAAAUGUAAGUAAGUGCUUCCAUGAGUUCCGUGAGC